rnacentral:rRNA from 1 species
UAAGGAAUAUUGGACAAUGGAGGCAACUCUGAUCCAGCCAUGCCGCGUGCAGGAUGACGGCCCUAUGGGUUGUAAACUGCUUUUGUACGGGAGAAAACCCAUCUACGUGUAGAUGGUUGAUAGUACCGUAAGAAUAAGGAUCGGCUAACUUCGUGCCAGCAGCCGCGGUAAGACGAAGGAUCCAAGCGUUAUCCGGAUUCAUUGGGUUUAAAGGGUGCGUAGGCGGGUUUGUAAGUCAGUGGUGAAAGCCGGUCGCUUAACGAUCGAACUGCCAUUGAUACUGCAGACCUAGAAUAUAGAUGAUGUUGGCGGAAUAUGACAUGUAGCGGUGAAAUGCAUAGAUAUGUCAUAGAACACCGAUUGCGAAGGCAGCUGACAAAACUAUUAUUGACGCUGAGGC